rnacentral:rRNA from 1 species
UACGGAGGGUGCAAGCGUUAUCCGGAUUCACUGGGUUUAAAGGGUGCGUAGGUGGGUUGGCAAGUCAGUGGUGAAAUCUCCAGGCUUAACUUGGAAACUGCCAUUGAUACUAUCAAUCUUGAAUGCCGUGGAGGUCAGCGGAAUAUGUCAUGUAGCGGUGAAAUGCUUAGAUAUGACAUAGAACACCAAUUGCGAAGGCAGCUGGCUACACGAAUAUUGACACUGAUGCACGAAAGCGUGGGGAUCAAACAGG